CGACCUCGCCAGGAAUCCACAACUACAUGAGCAAUUACUCUCCGCGCCAACGGUGAUGUGGCCUGCACUGCAGCAGCCUCUCUUUCCUCUGUUUGCUCAGUUGCCAGGGCAGGCAGGAGAGAGGCUGUUUCAAUCCAGCCUUCUGAUUGGUCGUCUCUACACAGCCUCACAGGACAUUUAGCAUGAAGUUGAAUUUGAUCCAACGUUUUUUUUUUCUUCGAAUUGCCGCCAGGGUCGUCAUUCUGACUGGGAGGUUUGUAGUGGUGGGAAUGAUGGCUGGACCCAGGCUGACUCACAGGGUAGGAGGGCUUUCCCCAGGCCACCGUAGAGACACAAGCUGGGGACACGUGUCUAAGCAGGGCUAGCAGUCCUCUAUCGGGUUGCUGUUUACGUACGAGGAGCUGAUUUUUGCGGUCAUAAACUUUUCUUUCUUCUAUGUUAUCACGUCCCACUGUGGAGGGAGUGUAGCCCAGGUUUUAUGGAGCGGUUUGCGACGUACACACGCCCGGGUCAAAUACACAAGAAGGCAGGAGGCUCCAAGAGUUGAGACAUCCCGUCGCAACAAGGGGAAAAUGGGCGUCUUCAUGACGGGAAUUCUUUCAAACAGGCUCGUCCAAAAAGUCUUCCGGCCCAUGCGGCCCUCUUUAUCGCUGAGUCAUGUGGUUUACCCGGCCAACCAUUUGACAGGAAUGUUGCGGGACGUUCGUGGUGACUUACCAAGACCCCCCUGGCAGAUAUCUGUGCGGGUGGCUCCAUCCAUAAUGAACUUGGGAUUCCGGCAAACCUCCUGUGGUCAGACACACACACAAACACACACACACACACAAAUUUAGCCAUGUAGACGACGCAAGGAUUCGCCCUCGCAAUUUUUUCCAAGAAGAGCUAUACGAGUAUUCUGAGUGAGAUUUCUCUUGAACUUUGACCUGACUUAACUGUUAAAUAAGGCACCAAAAUAAUCCUUUACUGGUUAAGAUGAACACAUUUUGUCUUAUGUCUUGUUUUCUUUUAAAUAUUUAGGGCUACUAUGGCAAAGCCAGAGAACUACUGUAAGUGUCUGGGAUGCGUCUGCGGCGGGUGUAAGCUGUGUGUUGUGCCCUGACCCAUGGGCAGGCAGAGUCAGGGCCUGAGAAGACUUUGACUCUGCCUGAAGCUAAUGCUCCCAUGCAUUGAUGCGCCUUCAUUAUGAUGACAAGGGGUCUCCAGCCAGUUAUUGAAUGAUGCCUUUGUUUUGUAGCUUGUGAAAUACAGUAUAUCUUCAAAGCGGUUUAAAACUGUAAACUGCUUUGAAACCGAUUUGAGGAUAUUCCGUCUCUUCAACUGUGCUUGCUUGUUCAUUGGACGUUCAACUCUGCUUCAUUUGCUGCUGCAUGAAUGCAUGCACAUAAGAACGUGUGUUCAGCAGGAUUUACAUACAAGGGCAGCCCGACUACCUGUGUGAGAUUCCCAUCAGCAACAUGGUUGGAUUCUCACAAACAAGUACACACGCACGCGCGCGCGCGCACACACACACACGCACACACACACACACACACACACACACACACACACACACACACACACGCGACCCAC